AACAGUUGGAGCCACGAGGAAGAAGCUUGGAGAUGGAGGAACCAGCCUACAUCCGUAGGAUUGCAGCUCCGUCUUCUCUGUCCCUUCUGGAUCCUCGGACUACCCCAACUCUCGCUCCCCUCUGGGUGCUCCGGUCACCUGCUGUUUUCAUUCCCACAUCAGGUGGCUGUAGAGGUAAAAAGCUGAGGAUGGAGACAAGCUUUACGCUGUGGCCUAAAGGUCAGCAAACUCAGGCACCGUCAGGAUCAUCAGGGAGAGCGAAUACUGACCAGACCUCGUUUGAGAAAGGCUUUCCACCAGCACCAGCACAGUGGGGAAAAAGGUAGCAGAAAGUGCCCCUUGCUGCAAGCAGAGCAGUGUGUCUCAGGCACACACAGGUACAUGGAGAAAGACCUGCUGGAGGUAGAGACAAACUGUACGCACUCCAGGUUUAUGUCUGGUGGCUCUUGGGAUGUUCAGAUAGAUACGUUAGUUGAGAUCUGAAGUAUAUAAAGGCUUUAUUUUGUUGUGAUAGAACUGCUGCAACCACAGUCAUUUUUGCCGUGCGUUACUUCUCCUCUAACAGGGGACCUUACGUAAACUCUCCAAAGUGGGGAUGUCAGGGCUGUGACAGGAUACUUGGUGAACAACAAAAGGCCCCGAUGUAUACAGAGAGGAAGGCAAAUCCGUAUUCCAUCGUUAAGAGGUAGUGGUCACUUAGAGCCAGGAUUUGCUAGGAAACAUUUCCUUGUCUGCACCUUUCCAGUCAUUAUUUUUUUCUUUCAGUGUCUUAUUUGGUUAAGCUUAUCCACGUACGGGAAUUUGCUGCCCAAAUGUUUCUGUUCCAAGAUGAUGGUGGACAACGGGAAACUUCAAUCGGCUGAAAAUGAGAAAGGAAAUGUCCCCCAAGAUGGCAAAACCAGACCCGUGUGUCCUCCAGGUCUACCUUGCUGUAGUUCCAGCUAGCAGGGCUUUGGCUCACUGUUGAAUAUGCUGUCUGUAUCUUGACUGUUAAGUCUUCCUUUCACAAAAUCCCCUGGUACUGAUCUCAUUACCAAGAUGGAUUUUUGGUGUUUUAGCUGGUGCUGAAAAUGGAAAAUAGCUACUUCAAGGAGGAAGGGCUAGAACCAAGUAUUGAUACUGUUCAGGGUUGCUUGUUUUUAUGUUCUCUCUUUAAAUGUCCUCUGCUGGCCACGACUGCAGACAGGGUGCUGCUGGGAGAAGUAGCCUUCCGACCUCUGCUGGCAUCGCCUUUUGUGAGUCCUUAGCAUGGUUCAAAAAUCGAGCGACAUUAGUUCGUGUUCACAGAUUGUGGUGUCUGGCAUAGGGCUCAGUAUGUGGUAGUUUGAACCUAUGGAGAUUUACUGUAGCAGGGCAUUUAAGCAUUUGCUUUGCUUUCACAGGGUCUGAGGGGACCUAAAGGUUAAAUGAGAUUGACUCUGAUCCAAUUGAUGAUGCCCAUGCUUGCCUUCAGACCUUUGAGCAAAGUCCUGAACACCUUGCUUCACAUGGUUUUGUUAUGGCUCUCAUCUCUCUUUAGUGUUACUAUUUCAAAAGGGGAAGAAUGCAGUACCUUGCCACUGUUUUUUAAAAAAAAAAACACAUUUGCCUGACCUAGAGAUAGGUUUUAGAUGUUAAAUCAGCAUGUGGCUUUGUAACUCAGAUAUUAAACCCUGAGUGUUUAAAUUAUUUUAUUUUACCUAUUUGAGCGAUGCUGUUUUAGAUACUCUAAACAUCUAGACGUGUUUGUAUUUUGUAUACCUUUGAAGAGUGGGAGUUCCAGGUUUGAAAUUUGGGGUUGGGUCUGUUCCUUCAAGAAUACAGCCACUAGGAGACACUAUCACUGCAUCUGUAGUAGUAAACUACCCAGAGGCAGAGCAGGUGUCUGAGCUGGGAGCUCAACCCUCUGCGCGCAGGUCAGCCCCGGAGCAGUUCGGCCACGGCUCUCCCAGUUCACAGGCAUGGUUAGGCACUCAGCAUGGACCGGUGGCCAUUCCCAGUGGGCAGUUUGGAUGUCAUCACCGUAUCGUGGAGAGUUCAAUAAUACUCUUCCAUUUCCACUGGUCUUGGUGCGAGAGAACAGUACCAGAGCAGGUUUAUGAAAAGAACAGAGAAGUUACCCUUACGGAUAUGUGGUACACAGUUAACAGGCAAGUCUGUGUGGGCGUGUGUGCAUGCACCCUGCUACAAAAUAAAUCUAGUGAAGUGGAAGAGUACGCUGAAACAUUAUGUUUGAAAAUACAGAAGUCUGGGUAAUUGCUUAGCAUCGUGAUUUGAUUAGUGAAAUCGUUUUAAGUGCUUCACAAUUUUAUGUACACUUAAUAUAAAUGGUGGUUAUGUAAUAUGAAAUGGCACAGAUGCAGAGCUCCUAUCCUGUUCAGAGUAGCAGCUAUACUGCAUGCAAGCGACGGAGAUCCCUGUCUUGAUAUUUGACUUUAUCAACAUCUCACUUGACAGGAAAAAAAACCCCAACAAAAACCCCAGCUGUUGUCCAUUCUUCCUCUCCAAACUUAAUUGUUCCUACAUUCUUCUUCUAUAGAUACUGUAUCUUCAUCCCAAGUUUCACUGUCUCUAAAGCUACAGUUCCAUGGUCACGAAUACGGUUUGUCUGUACUACCUGAUCACCAAACAAUACGAGUUCAGUCCAGAUCAGGGAGCAUAUGAUUUGAUUUCUCUAAAAUUAGCCACAGCAUAUAGUAUGGAGCUUACACAGGUUUUAUACGAGCUGUAGAAAGAUGAUUAUUAGUCAAUUCUACACAAAGUUAACACAGGAGGCACAAAUAAUAAAUACCUCACCCGGCAUCAAGCCCUGUGGAUACAAGUUAACCUGUUAGCGUUUUUUGAACAAAUUUGAACCUUAAGAAUUAAUUUAUUGUACAGGAUUAGUGUUUUAGUCAUGCGGCUGCGGUGGUUUUGGAUCUUGGAGUAGGAGUCCUAAAGCCAUUUGCUGCGUUGUCAAGACAAAGCCUGAAAGGGAGAUUGCCAACACUUAUUAUGCGCCUAGCCCAGAGACAACAGGACACACCUAGGUGAGUCAGAAAAACUUGCUUUGCGUUUCAUGGUAGGCUUCAGGCACCUACAUAGGAGAGUGGGUUUUCAGGAUCUGCCACAAUAUGUACAACAAGCACACCCACAGAUUUCUUGUCAUCUGAGUUUUUACUCUGUAAUUUACCCACAAAAUUCCUCUAAAUGGAAACUUGAUGAAAUGUGCUGGCACAAAUGUUUUGAUACUUCAGAGGGUGAAAUCCUCCAAGUGCUCUCACUGUUACUUUUAUGCCUGGUUCGAACAGCGCUGACUCAGGAUGGAGAUGUUUUACCCUAUGCUCUUUCUCAGACCUUUUGUGGGACAGAUGGAGUGGAUGUAGCCUAUUAAUUAGACAUAUCAGCUGUGGCUCUGACCUCAUUUCACUGUUGUCAGUUGCAAAUCUCUCAUCGAUUUCAAUAAAAUAGAAUUAGGCUUGCUCUACAGAAGAUAACUCAAGUUCCUUAAAACUGAUCUGAUGACAUGAUAGUUGUCAUGGCCCCAACCUUCAGUUUGCCCUUGAGCUACACUUUCAAAAAGAAGUUGUCACCUAGACAUUAACUCCAUUUUUCUACAUAUCCAGAUCCUUAUAUUGAUGCAGAAGGAUUGAAAUACUUCUUAUAAAGUCUACAGGGACUUAUUUAUUCUGAACUUUUUGGAAAAAGCAGGUUAUAGUAUUGGAUUAGAUAUACAAAGGCUAAAGGGAGAUAGUGCUUCUUUAAAAAAUAGCUAAAGUUUUCAAAAGUCUUGCCUUACCAUAGCUUUCUGUGAGAUAAACACGCAUGUACACUCUCCUCCAUGAACACACGUGCAGAUGUAGAUGUACAAAUGCACUAAGAACUCAGCAUACAGAGCAGUAUUGUAUUUCUAUACUAGCAAAUUACUGCCUUUAAUUUUUCUUCUUUGUCUUCCUGUUUUCCCCUUGAUCUACAGGCUAUCCCAACCAAGAUUGCUAAUAACUGUAAAAUUGUGAGCAGUAUUUAAAGGGUCACAGAUUUUCAGUUUAAAAAGGCUGUCAUUAAAACUCCGUCCUGUUUCACCUGCGUA